rnacentral:rRNA from 1 species
ACAUGCAAGUCGAACGAGAAACUUGGUUCGCCAAGUGGAAAGUGGCAGACGGUUGAGUAACGCGUGGGAAUCUACCUAGAGGUUCGGAAUAACUAUUGGAAACGAUAGCUAAUACCGGAUAAGCCCUUCGGGGGAAAGAUUUAUUGCCUUUAGAUGAGCCCGCGUCGGAUUAGCUAGUUGGUAAGGUAACGGCUUACCAAAGCUACGAUCCGUAGCUGAUCUGAGAGGAUGAUCAGCCAGAUUGGGACUGAGACACGGCCCAGACUCCUACGGGAGGCAGCAGUAGGGAAUAUUGCGCAAUGGGGGAAACCCUGACGCAGCGAUGCCGCGUGAGUGAAGAAGGCCUUAGGGUUGUAAAACUCUUUCAGUGGUGAAGAUAAUGACGGUAACCACAGAAGAAGCUCCGGCUAACUCCGUGCCAGCAGCCGCGGUAAUACGGAGGGGGCUAACGUUGUUCGGAAUUACUGGGCGUAAAGGGCGUGCAGGCGGAUUGGCAAGCCGGAGGUGAAAGCCCGGGGCUCAACCCCGGAGGGUCUUUCGGAACUGCCAGUCUUGAGAGGGUCAGGGGCCAGCGGAAUUCCUGGUGUAGAGGUGAAAUUCGUAGAGAUCAGGAGGAACACCGGCGGCGAAAGCGGCUGGCUGGGGCCACUCUGACGCUGAGGCGCGAAAGCGUGGGGGAGCAAACAGGAUUAGAUACCCUGGUAGUCCACGCCGUAAACGAUGGGGCACUAAGCGUCCGACGGGUUCGACCCCGUUGGGUGCUGCAGUUAACGCGUUAAGUGCCCCGCCUGGGGAGUACGGUCGCAAGACUAAAACUCAAAGGAAUUGACGGGGGCCCGCACAAGCGGUGGAACAUGUGAUUAAUUCGACGCAACGCGAAGAGCUUACCUGGGUUUGACAUCUCGGCCGACAUCAGAGAUGGUGUUUUCUCUUCGGAGACCGGGUGACAGGUGCUGCAUGCUGUCGUCAGCUCGUGUCGUGAGAUGCUGGAUAGUUCCGCACGAGCGCACCCUUGCCCUCAGUUGCAGCAGUUCGCUGACACUCUGGGGGGACUGCGGUGACAGCUGAGAGUGGGAUGACGUCAGUCCUCAUGCUUUAUAUCAAGGCUACACACGUGUCAAAUGGAC